UCUUCUCUUACCGUACAAGGUCCGAUCCGUGGACUUCCGCCUCGCCUCAUUGAGAUCCGGCUUUGGUGCUCCUCGGCCUCGUCGUCAGGGCGGGGGGAGCAUGGGAUCCCGCAACCGUCUCCUCUUGAAUCUGCUGAGAGAGACUUUGUGGAUUAGUUGAUGGUGCUUGUUCUGCUACCUGUCUUCCAUCGACAACUUCAGAGCUGUAGCUGCAGGUCUUGUUCACAUUGUUGUCUUCUUUGUCACAAGUCCAAGUCCUCUUCUGGCCUUUCUUCAAAGAAUUGGAUCCUGAGGAGGAACAGGCUGUCCAAUGUCGUCGCUGCUUGCAUCCUCACUGAAAUGAGCCAAAUCUCCAAUUGCAGUGACACAAACUGCUGGAUCCUGAGGAGGAGGAACAGGCUGUCCAAUGUCGUCUCUGCUUGCAUCCUCACUGAAACGAGCCAAAUCUCCAAUUGCAGUGACACAAAUUGCUGGCUCUGAAUUUUGUGGAAUUACAUCUGAUUCAUUCAGAUAAAAACCAUCACCAUGCCCAAAAUGUGGAGUACAGAAUCCUCCAUAAGAAUCAAAGUUUUCGACUUCUGAUGGGUAAUAAUAGCAAUAAGAAGAAGAUGAAUCAGCAGUAGCAGAAGACCAAACUGGGACCUUAAAGCUUGGAUCAUCGAAACCUUGCUCCAUGAAGUGUGCCAUUAUUUCAUAGCCCUCUUCCAAUGAGCCUUCCAUUUCUUCGACUCACUCAAAUGGAGAGAUGGAGUGUGUUGCAAUGUGUUGCGGGGAUGGGGGUUCUUAUACAAAGCAGGAGGAGAGCAUGUGCAAGUGAGAUGGAGUUGACCAUAUUAAGCACUCUUAAUUAUUUGCGGUUUGACAAACGCAUCCAUUGACUUUGUUGAUAAUUUGGGUACAAAAAUUUGAUUAUGUAAACAUGUGGGAGGUGCUGACAAUGACUGAGGAUGCAAAUGAUUGGUGUGGAAGUUUAUCAUGAGUUUUGCAUGGAAAUGGAAGAAUGAAGUAGGUGUAUAAUUUGAUUAAAAUAAAGGCAGUAAAGGAGAAAGAGGGAAGCAUGAUCUUAGAGAUUUUCCAAGAAGCGUGUGAAGUCUUUGUCAAGAGAAUGAGUUCUUUCUGAUUCUUCAGUAUAUUGUUCUAUGGAAAAAAGAAAUCAACUAUGAACUCCUUUGUAUGCUUUUUUGUUGGAGUGUGGAACAUAGUAUUAAACUUUCUUUUAUUAUUCUUUUUUAAAAAAAUAAGAGGAUAUUGUAUUUUA